GCGAGUGUAACUCAGUUGGUUAGAGUGUUAGGUUGUGGCUCUAAAAGACGGGGGUUCAAGUCCCCUCUCCCGCC
rnacentral:tRNA from 1 species